GACGAACGCUGGCGGCGUGCUUAACACAUGCAAGUCGAACGGAAAGGCCUGCUUUCCCUUGUGGAUUGCGGGUGCUCGAGUGGCGAACGGGUGAGUAACACGUGAGUGAUCUGCCCCCAACUUGGGUAUAAGCCUGGGAAACUGGGUCUAAUUCCCGAUAGGACUGCAGGGUGGUGCCUGUGGUGGAAAACGAUUUUCUAGUGGUUGGGGAUGAGCUCGCGGCCUAUCAGCUUGUUGGUGGGGUAAUGGCCUACCAAGGCGGCGACGGGUAGCCGGCCUGGGAGGGUGGACGGCCACAUUGGGACUGAGAUACGGCCCAGACUCCGACGGGAGGCAGCAGUGGGGAAUAUUGCACAAUGGGCGGAAGCCUGAUGCAGCGACGCCGCGUGGGGGAUGACGGCCUUCGGGUUGUAAACUCCUUUCGACCGCGAGGAAGCCGCCUGGUUGGAAGGGUGGUGACGGUAGUGGUAGAAGAAGCACCGGCUAACUACGUG
rnacentral:rRNA from 1 species